AUUGAACGCUGGCGGCAUGCCUUACACAUGCAAGUCGAACGGUAACAGGUCUUCGGAUGCUGACGAGUGGCGAACGGGUGAAUAAUGCAUCGGAACGUGCCCAGUAGUGGGGGAUAGCCCGGCGAAAGCCGGAUUAAUACCGCAUACGACCUGAGGGUGAAAGGGGAGGAUCGCAAGACCUCUCGCUAUUGGAGCGGCCGAUGUCAGAUUAGCUAGUUGGUGGGGUAAAGGCCUACCAAGGCAACGAUCUGUAGUUGGUCUGAGAGGACGACCAGCCACACUGGGACUGAGACACGGCCAAGACUCCUACGGGAGGCAGCAGUGGGGAAUUUUGGACAAUGGGCGCAAGCCUGAUCCAGCAAUGCCGCGUGCAGGAAGAAGGCCUUCGGGUUGUAAACUGCUUUUGUCAGGGAAGAAAUCUUCUGGGUUAAUACCUCGGGAGGAUGACGGUACCUGAAGAAUAAGCACCGGCUAACUACGUGCCAGCCGCCGCAGUAAAAC
rnacentral:rRNA from 1 species